ACUUUCUAGAAGCAAGUUCUUGGCAUGUCCAUAGGCCAAGGCAUUAGGCACUGAAAUCUGGGGAAGAUCCAAGCCACCUUGCUCAGGGAUGCUUUAGCAGUGCUUCUUCUGAACUGAGACAUCUGCUUGCUUUGUUCAAUAUCUCCCUAGAUAAGAGGAGGAACCAUCAGUUAAGUUACAGCACUCAAGAGUUUGAUGGAAAUGAGAGUGCAUUUUCCAGCAAGCAGAAGUGUGUCAUUGCCACCGUUCCCAUUGCCCAUGGUGGGAACCCUGAAAACAGCCUAUGGAAUCCUCUAUAGAUCCCUGCUCUUGGGAAUCUAAUGCCCUCAAAUGAACAACUCAGCAGCCGACAAGCAAGCUGAUAAAGCAUUCCUCGCAGAUACUUAAUGGGUAUAGGAAUCCAUCUGAGAAGAACUUGGCAAAUGCACAGAACUCUGAUCAGAUCUCUACAUGGGAAAACACACCGCAGUUAAGAUGCCUCCUGCCAGUAGGAAAUGCUGGUUACCAUGGAAGGAAAUUGGAACAAGACUUGGACCUAAUGAGUGUCUAAGAAAACAUCCGUGUGUGCAAAAGUUUUUAAGGUAAGAGUAUCAUGCAGGUCCCUAAACAACUGGGUCCUCAGCAGUUUGUUGUAGCCAAAAUUAUAAGUUUGAUGAUGCUUCCAGCACCAUUAUUUAUGCUACUCUGUGAUUUAUUUCUUUUUGUUUGGAUGCUUUCAAUGAUUUUUUUUUUGCUGCGUUGCCACUGAGUCAGGUCCAUUUCUGAGUAUACCCAAUUGGUUAGAAUAUUUAUUUCCAACCAGGACAGUUCAAUUGCUAAGCAUUCCCAUUUCCAUGCAAUAAAAAAAUAAAAUAAAAUAAAUAAAAUUAAAAAAAUAAAUAAAGAGAGAGAAAAGGUUACUGUGCAACUGUGGGGCUCCCGCAGAAAGCAUGCACUAAUAGCUGGUGAUGCUCAUGACAGCUAGAUGGUAUCAAGCUCUGAUUCAUAAUCUUCAUAAGUAUGUCUAUUACUGCUCAUCCAGUAUAAGCUGCUGAGUUUUACACCUAGGAGAUGGAUGUGUCGUCUGGGUUUGCAGUAGGAGUGGGAAGACCAAGCAUAGCACUUCUCCUUGGUCUAUAGAGAGGUAUAAGCACCUCACUGGGAAAAUGAUGGCAUCCAAAGAGAAAGAUCCAAAAGGUGAAACCACAUUUGCAUGCUAAAUCUGGCAAAAGCUUGUAAUUUCAGAAGCUGAAAUGUAGAAAGGAGUGUCUUUGCCAGGGCUUGUGCAUAAGAUAGUGGAGAAAUACAACACUGUGCUUUGAGGUCCCACUCAUACAUGCUGUUUUCAUCUACUGCCUUUGGAUGGAAAGGUAAAAUGCCCUCAUGGAUCAGCUCCUGCUCACAACAGAGAAAGAACCUGCAUACCUAACCCUACAAGAUGUUACCUAAGAGUGUCUGGGAACAGAAACUAGCAGUGGGCUUGUCACCGCCACAGCCUAAGUUGGCCAGUCAUGGAGUUGCUGCACAGGGAUCAGAGCUCCUCUAAACAUGUAGCUUUUAGGUGUGAGGAUUUUCAGACUAAAUAGCAGUGAAAAAGGUGUGAGGAUCUUUGUCUGUGAGCUGUCUUCUAGAAGAAAUAACUUGCACUGGUGUUUUUCAGUCGCGCCCUUCCCAAGGAUGCUGGUUUUGUUGAGAAAUUACUGUGGGAUUGGUGGAAUUUAGGCAGAAGGGUGUGAUUAAAUGCUUCUAACCAGAGAGGGAGGAUGAGAAAUACCACACAGUGGUCCUAGGGAUGUACUUCUCCUUUGGCCUCCUGUAUGAGGCCAUAAUUAGAGAUCUGAUUUACCAUUAUUUCAUGAUUUAUUUCCUAUACUUCUCGCUUCCACUGAGUCUAAUAGGUUUCUCAUGUUAUUAGAUAACCCUCUCUGUGAGCUGUUACAUAGAUAAUGGUUUCAUGUCCCAGACUCAGAGCUUCAAUUUUCACAAGUGCACUUAAAAAAAUAAUCAAGCAAUGAGUUAUUAGUCAAGUUAUUAGUUUCAAUUGUGUCAUCAUUAAAUAGUUUGGUUGCUUUCCUGGCUACAAUAGCAAUGGGUUGAGUGUCUUGCUGGUCCAAUGGCUGUGGAAUGAGCCUUAUACCUUCAUUAACCAUCAGAAGAGCUAAAGAACAUGUGUGCCAGUACUUGUAUGGCCUGAUGUGUCCAAGGCUUGAGUUUAUCACUUAAGCCACUACUUACAUCCUGUUGGACUCAACAAAUUUAAAUGUAGAUGCUUUGUUAAUUAGAAAUGUAAUUUCUUGGUUCAAUCUAAGCAAAAGCAUGAGUGGUUUAUGGCAUUUUGGCUGAUGAGUGUGUUGACUUGAUUAUCCAACAACAGCAGGUUCUCAGAAGAACCACUCCCUGCUGUUGUCGUGGGCUUCUUCAUUUUGAGAUUUUACAUCCAGGUCCCUGAGUUUUGGGAUCCCAAUUGUAUCAGAGCCAGAGCACACAGUGAAGUGAAGGGCAUUUGGUGUGUAAUGGAAGUCGUUCAGCAGCUGAGCAAAUCAGGCUCUUAAGCUCUACUGCAUCCUGCAAUGUGAAAGUGGAGAACUCCGAGUUUUAUUUAGCUCCAUAAAAUAUUUAACCUCAACAGUGAUGGAGUUGAUAAAAAUCUGUAUUUUGUAAAAAGCUUUUGUUUCAAGGCUAUCCUUUUUAUGACUAGCCUGUACAUUCUCAGAAAAAAAAUAAAAA
ensembl:lncRNA